rnacentral:lncRNA from 12 species
CAGGUAGUGCUCGUUAUACAAAGUUUCAGACAUUGUUCAGAUGAGUACAAGUACUAGACAGAAGGGAUUAAGGAAAAGAAAGUUACGUUUGUUUUUUUCUAGGAUGCAGUCAAAUGUUGACGAAAGACAUGAGAUUUUUUAGCUGUCUCUUGAAUAUAUAUUAUUUAUUUAUUUUACUUUAUUUAUUAGAUAUAACAUUAAUUAUUAGGUUUAUUUACAUUAUUGUUUAUUAGAAUGUUACACACGCACACACACACACACACACACACACACACACACACACAUAGAUACUUUGAAAUUAUUUUUCUUUUAAUAAUGAUGACGAUGGAGCAUUGUAAAACUGCUUUAUUUUUAAUCGUGUGUGUAAAACUGCUCUAGUUUUAGUCGUGUAUGUAGGUUACUGUGGUUAAACUGACGGUUUUUGCUGCUCACACUUGCACAAUUUGGGUCAUUGUACACUCGACGCCCCAGAAGUGUUUGGAUUGGUUUUCCGCCAGAAUCCAGGAUCGCUUGAAUCCACGCCGGGUUUUCCUUCCGCCCGCAGCGUGUCUGUGGAAACAGAAAGAGCUGGAUGUAAUGUGACACUGGAGCCGAGAGAUCAUGAGAGAACACACCACACUUCAGCAGCGCCGCGGAUAAUAUCACUCCUCCACCGGCGGGAUUUUACCGGCUCAGAGGAGUGUGUGAUGAAUGGCUGGAGGUGUCAGAGAUCUGGAAUCAGAGAGAGAAAGAGAGAGACUUUUCCUUCCCAUUACGCUCUAAUGCAUCACCUCCACACACACACACACACACACACGCGUGCGUGCGGCUCUCUUUAG